GACGAACGCUGGCGGCGUGCUUAACACAUGCAAGUCGAACGAAGAGCGAUGGAGGCUUGCUUCUAUCAAUCUUAGUCGCGAACGGGUGAGUAACGCGUAAUCAACCUGUCCUUCAGUGGGGGACAACAGUUGGAAACGACUGCUAAUCCCGCAUACGAUCUAAUCUCGGCAUCGAGGAUAGAUAAACGGUGGCCUCUACAUGUAUGCAAUCACUGAAGGAGGAGAAUGCGUCUGAUUAGCUAGCUGGAUAGGUAAAGGCCCAACCAAGGGAUGAACAGUAGCCGGUCUGAGGGGAUGGACGGCCACAUUGGGACUGAGACACGGCCCAGACUCCUACGGGAGGCAGCAGUGGGGAAUCUUCCGCAAUGGACGAAAGGCUGACGGAGCAACGCCGCGUGAGUGAUGACGGCCCUCGGGUUGUAAAGCUCUGUUAAUCGGGAAGAAAGGCCUUCUUGCGAAUAGUGAGAAGGAUUGACGGUACCGGAAUAGAAAGCCACGGCUAACUACGUG
rnacentral:rRNA from 1 species